rfam:Salmo salar isolate Sally breed double haploid chromosome ssa07, whole genome shotgun sequence.
UGCAAGCAUGACUGUAAAUCGCUUUGGAUAAAAGUGUCUGCUAAAUGGCAUACA